AUUGUCACUGCUGUUCCAAGGGCACACGCAGAGGGAUUUGGAAUUCCUGGAGAGUUGCCUUUGUGAGAAGCUGGAAAUAUUUCUUUCAAUUCCAUCUCUUAGUUUUCCAUAGGAACAUCAAGAAAUC
rnacentral:other from 10 species